ensembl:antisense Gm12246 predicted gene 12246
AAUCUGCCUGCCUCUGCCUCCGGAGUGCUGGGAUUAAAGGUGUGCGCCACCACACCCGGCUUUUUUGUUUUGUUUUUUUCAGCUCUGUUUCUUUACCUCGACAACUGAGCUUUAAGAGAGUGAGCAGAGCCAGGCAAAGAACCCAGUGCAAACACUUUGGCUUUGUUUUUGUCUCACCUCAGGAAACAUGGAACUUCCUACACAGCUCAGAAUCUGUGGUGAUCCUCCUGACACAGCAUCAUUGCCUUUUAAAGACAUUGUCCGGCCCAGUCUAAUUUGAGGUGGUUAUAUUGUGCUAUAAUGGGAGGACGUCUGGGAGAGGUGUGUGUGUGUGUGUGUAGAUAGAAGAGAGCGUUGGAUCCCCUGGAACUGGAAUUAUAGACGGUCGUUAACUGUAUAGGUGCUGAUAACCCAACUUGGAUCUGCCAUCACUUUAGCCCCAAACUUUCUUGUAUUUUAAACAAACAGAGCCCCAAAUGAAUACACAGCUCA